CUCGCUGGCCUCCUCGUCAGCCGCCGCGACUCCGAAGGGGAAUCCAGUGGCGGCAGAGCGGGGCCUGAGCGGCUCGAGGAAGGGGACGACGGGGGCACGCUCGUGGCGAAGGGCGAGUGGGUUGGCGGAGUGGAUGUCGGCGUCGCAGGUGACGCAGAGGGCGGCCGCGUCGGCCUUGCAGGUGACGCUCGCCGGGGCCUGCUCGCAGACCUCGCACACCCACACGCGCUCGUGUCGCGCCCCGGUCCCGUGCACACGCGCGUCGCACGCGCCGCACAGGUACGCCUCGUCCGCCCGGCAGAAGACCAGGGCCGGCCCGGACUUGCACGAGUCGCACCGCCGCGCCCCGAUCCCGCUCCAAUACCCACCUUUCGCGCUCACCAUCUCCUUCCUUCCUUCCUCUCUCUCUCUCUCGUUUUG
rnacentral:lncRNA from 1 species